GAUCAUGGCUCAGGAUGAACGCUGGCGGCGCGCCUAACACAUGCAAGUCGAACGGCACCUAUCUUCGGAUAGAAGCGAGUGGCGAACGGCUGAGUAACACGUGGAGAACCUGCCCCCUCCCCCGGGAUAGCCGCCCGAAAGGACGGGUAAUACCGGAUACCCCCGGGCGCCGCAUGGCGCCCGGGCUAAAGCCCCGACGGGAGGGGAUGGCUCCGCGGCCCAUCAGGUAGACGGCGGGGUGACGGCCCACCGUGCCGACAACGGGUAGCCGGG
rnacentral:rRNA from 1 species